UUGAAUGUUGCCUUGAUGGGUUGUCGCUGGCUCUUAAACAGGGCAUGUGCACACCUGUCUUGACUACUAUUCAUCCACCUGUGCACCUUUUGUAGUCUUUUUGGGGGCUGGGGAAAGUGGCAGCUCAGGCUGUUGCUGAACCUCCCACUGGGGACUAUGUUUAUAUUCAUAUACCAUGUAGAACGUCAUAGAAUGUUGUCAAUGGGCACUUGUGGCCUAUAUAAAAUCUAUA
rnacentral:misc_RNA from 1 species